rnacentral:rRNA from 1 species
UACGUAGGGUGCGAGCGUUAAUCGGAAUUACUGGGCGUAAAGCGUGCGCAGGCGGUUCGUUAAGUUCGUUGUGAAAGCCCCGGGCUCAACCUGGGAACUGCAAUGGAAACUGGCGGGCUUGAGUGUGGCAGAGGGGGGUGGAAUUCCGCGUGUAGCAGUGAAAUGCGUAGAGAUGCGGAGGAACACCGAUGGCGAAAGCGGCUUCCUGGUCCAGCAUCGACGUUCAGGCACGAAAGCGUGGGGAGCAAACAGG